rnacentral:rRNA from 1 species
CGUCAGCAUGAGCCAUUUUGUUUUUAUGACAAAUAUGGGAUGCAGUGUAUGGAACAUCUAUAAUCUAGUAUGAGAAAUUAAUGAUUUAAGUCCUUCUUAAAUGAGGCCAUUUACCCAUAGAGGGUGCCAGGCCCGUAUAACAUUAAUGAUUACUAGAAGGUGUUUCCAAAGAGUCGUGUUGCUUGAUAGUGCAGCACUAAGUGGGUGGUAAACUCCAUCUAAAACUAAAUAUAACCAUGAGACCGAUAGUAAACAAGUACCGUGAGGGAAAGUUAAAAAGAACUCUGAAUAGAGAGUUAAAGAAUCUAAUGAUUUAUUUAUUUAAUUGUAUGCGCUAUUAUGAUUAACAAUGCGAUAGAUUCAGGAUACCUUCGGGACCCGUCUUGAAACACGGACCAAGGAGUCUAACAUAUGUGCAAGUCAUUGGGUAUUUUUAAUAAAACCCAAUGGCAUAAUUAACUUAACUGUUAUUUAUGGGAUUAGUUUAUAUUUUGUUAUGAAAUAUUUAUUCAAUCCCGGGGCGUUCUAUAUAGUUAUGUAUAAUAAUAUUUAUAUUAUUUAUGCCUCUAACUAGAGCGUACCUUGAGCAUAUAUGCUGUGACCCGAAAGAUGGUGAACUAUACUUGAUCAGGUUGAAGUCAGGGGAAACCCUGAUGGAAGACCGAAACAGUUCUGACGUGCAAAUCGAUUGUCAGAAUUGAGUAUAGGGGCGAAAGACUAAUCGAA